UUUUAUUUCCUCGUUGUAACGACAAAAUGUGUUUUAUUAGUUGAUUUUAUGUGUUACAGCGUUCAACACACACAAUGCAAAAGGGCAUUUGAUGUAAAAAAAUUUAAAAAAAUGAAAAAUAAGUAAUUGAAACUGAAAAUCAGAAAGUAUUAAAUCACUCAGCAUUAGUAGUCGGCCUGGAACACACCCGUAAUCUGACAGGACUACGACACAGGCUUGGUAGUCGGCCUGGAACACACCCGUAAUCUGACAGGACUACGACACAGGCUUGGUAGUCGGCCUGGAACACACCCGUAAUCUGACAGGACUACGACACAGGCUUGGUAGUCGGCCUGGAACACACCCGUAAUCUGACAGGACUACGACACAGGCUUGGUAGUCGGCCUGGAACACAUGUCAAAAAUGUUAUAAAAUGAUUUGCAUUUUAAUGAGGGAAAUAAGUAUUUGACCCCCUCUCAAUCAGAAAGAAUUCUGGCUCCCAGGUGUCUUUUAUACAGGUAACGAGCUGAGAUUAGGAGCACACUCUUAAAGGGAGAAUGUGUGUGUGUGUGAGUUCUAGAACGCGUGUGAGAGUUCUAGAAUGCGUGUGUGUGAGUUCUAGAAUGUGCGUGUGUGAGUUCUAGAAUGCGUGUGAGAGUUCUAGAAUGCGUGUGUGAGUUCUAGAAUGCGCGUGUGUGAGUUCUAGAAUGUGCGUGUGUGAGUUCUAGAAUGCGUGUGUGAGUUCUAGAAUGCGUGUGAGAGUUCUAGAAUGCGUGUGAGAGGUCUAGAAUGCGUGUGAGAGGUCUAGAAUGCGUGUGUGAGUUCUAGAAUGCGUGUGAGAGGUCUAGAAUGCGUGUGUGAGUUCUAGAAUGCGUGUGAGAGGUCUAGAAUGCGUGUGUGAGUUCUAGAAUGCGUGUGAGAGG
rnacentral:lncRNA from 1 species